rnacentral:lncRNA from 10 species
AGAGUCUUCUGAAACUCACAUUGGAGAAACAGCCAUAUGAGGGAUUUGGAGAUGAGGAAUGGGGUUUCUUCAAUAUUCAGGCAAGAUGGCUCCCAAAGUCUCAAGCCCACUGUGCUGAUUUGAGCAUUUGGCUCAGCCUUUUCUGGUCAUCACCAACGUUCACCUGGCCAUGCUGAUGGCAGCACGCAUGGAUCUGGCCAUUCCCACAGCCUGGUCACCCCAUGGUGGCCCUUGAUUGAGCUUGCCAUGGCACGGAAGGGGGCCUCUCCUACUCACCGAUCUCCUUAUUGAGAGAAAGAGUCUUGCUGUGUUGCCCAGGCUGGUCUCAAACUCCUGGGCUCAAGAAAUCCUCCCGCCUCAGCCUCCCAAAGUGUUGGGAUUACAGGUUUAUGAGCAGGAACCAUUGCUUAAGAAAUACUCACCAUCAAGCAGAAUCAUGAGGGACAGAGCACCAUGAACUCAGGGAGCAAAGAGAACACUGUGGGGGUAUUCUUAGGGAUGGAAUCUCCACAUCAAAUCUAUUGGCAAGACCUGGAUGUUCUUGGAAAUGUGAAACAUUGAAAAUGUUGAACAUUAAUCUUCUCCUCAUCUCCAGUAUCAACACCCAACUGAGGCCACCAUCAUUUCUUGGGUUUGGGUGGACAAUUGCAACAGCCACCUAUGACUGCUGUGACUUUGUCUAUGACUCCAGUUAAUCCAUCCUCCACUCCACCGCCUGAAUGAUCUCUUCAAAAUUCACAGUAGGUAAUGACACCCCAGUGGAAAAUGCUGAUUGCCUUCUACUUAGAAUAAAUCCCAAAUUCUUUACUGUGGCCUAUAAAACCCUCAGUGCAAUCCUCUCUGGAUGAGCUCAUCAUUUUUAAGUCUCAGGUUAAAUUAGCGGUUCUCAAAAGGGAGCAGUGUUGCCCUUUAAGAGACAUUUGGCAAUGUUGGGAGAUAUUUUUGGUUGUCAUAAGUGGAAGUCAGGGGGUGCUACUGGCAUCCAGCGGUCAGAGGCCAGGGAUGCUGUUGAACAUUCUGCAAUGCACAGAAUAGUCCCCUAUAGCAAAGAAUUGUCUGACCCAAAAUAUCAGAAGUGCCAAAGUUAAGAAAUCCUGACUUAAAAUCACUUUCCUGUAGUGACUUUAUCUGACCAUCUUUAUCUCAAAUUGGUUUCCAUCCCCUAUGCUCUUCAUACCUCUAACCACAAUUUGCAAUUCCCUUCUUAUUGUCAUUUACAUACAUGUAAGCUCCACAUACCGGGCUAUGGACAAAGUAUGUCUUGUCCAACUUUGUUGUCUCAACAUGUACCACUUAGCAGAUGCUCAAUAAAUAUUUGUAGGAAGAAGAAGGGCAGGAAGGGGGAAGGGCAAGAAGAAAAGGCAGUCAAGGUGAAGCAGCACCCCUGCCCUUCUGAGCCCCUUUCAGUAUCAUGCUGACUCUCAUCUUCAUGUGGAAAACCUGCCAUUUGACUGGGCCAGUUGCACUGAUUAUGUUUUACCGGAGAAUGAGCCGAGUGGACUAGGAAAACACUUUAAAACUCAGUUGUGGGGCAGGGUAGGGGGUGGGGGCAUUGGCAUGAAAAUGUUUAGAUUUCUUCAGUAUUGACUUUGUUUUGUCAAACAAGUCCUCUUGAGGGUAGGGACCAUGUCUAGUUCAGUCUCCGCUGUAGCUCCAGCACCUUGCAUAGUGCGUAGUGCAGACAUAGUGGGUUUCCCAAAAGUGUUUGUGAAUAUGUGAGUACCCCCCCAGCCUGCAGGGGAGGGAGGGUUGAUACCCCACUGCACCCACUUCUUCAGCAGCUCAUAAACCCACUUAUGAAGCCAACCUUCAGGUCAGACUCUUGCUUUUCUUCUUAUUAGUGGCCCUUAAAAGAGCAUUGCCAAUAAAAACUUCAGCUCUGGAAAAGAAUUCUGGCCUUUGUCAGCUAUUUCCGACAGCCCUUGAAAGAAAAAUAAAUUUGGCUCCAAGUUUUCCCAUGCCUGUUUAUAGUUCCUCACACAAAGCUCUGCCGUUUAUACAAUUUUGUCACCCAGAGACCCAGCUAACUCUAUCUCAGAGGCAGCCUCUCCCGUCCCCACCUCAGCAGCCUCCACUCCAACUUCCUCCUCCCCACUUAGGGCUUCCAAGGACCCAUGAGGAUAAGCUGCAGGCUGUGAGGUUUCUAUAGUACACUCCUUCCUGGAAUGACUCUGCCUAAAUUUCACCUUUAAGCCUCAGAGAUUCAUGUUAUCUUAUUAGCAACACAAAAUGGAAAAGACUGAACCCUUUCAGUUUAAUCUGCUGAGUUUCUGAGGCUGCAGGGAACUCCUCCAAGGAAUGUGCUUAGCUUUUGUUAGAGGAAGUUAAAAAAAAAAAAGGCCCAACAUAUUAUUUGGCAUAAAUCUACUCAUCUAAUUUAGAUUGUAGAAACCUAUUGAUUAGGUUCCCAAGCCUGUCACUUUUUCCCUAUAGCGACUACAAAUAUCACUGCCAUUGGGAAAUUUCACAUCAUAAAACUCACUACUAUGAUCCCACUUUCAUAUUUUCCCUCUCUCUCUCCAUCUUUUCCUUUCUCACGCACACAAAAUCUGUUCUUUGGUCUCAUCAGCGCCAUCUGGUGGUGUUUCAAAUGUUUCAGUACCCUUUAAAAAAAAAAAAAAAAGAUUGAAGACCCCAAAGAGCACCUGAGUAUGUGUCAUAUCUAUCACAGUUAUCCUAUUCAAAAAUGAAACUGGCCAGGCACGGUGGCUGACGCCUGUAAUCCCAGCAUUUUUGGGAGGCCAAGGUGGGCGGAUCACUUGAGGUCAGGAGUUCCAGACCAACCUGGCCAACAUGGUGAAACCCUGUCUCUCCUAAAAAUACAAAAAUUAGUGGGGCACGGUGGCAGGCACCUGUAAUCCCAGCUAUUCGGGAGGCUGAGGCAGGAGAAUCAAUGGAUGUCAUAUAAUGAAAUGAUGUCAUAUAAUGAAAUGUGUCAACAUUGAAGAUCUGUAUAACUCAAGGAAGCAAUAUUUCCCAAAUGGCCGUGAAUGAGAUUACAAAAUCAUGCAUUCAAAAUGCAUUCAAUCCAGGAGAAUCGCCGGAACCCAGGAGGCAGAAGUUGCAGUGAGCUGAUAUUGUGCCACUAUACUCCAGCCUGGGCGACAGAGCAAGACUCCAUCUCUAAAAAGAAAAAAAGAAAAAUGAAA